GAAGAUGGCUGUGAAACUCAUUAGAAUAACAAUAUAACUCAUUAUCUAUGUUAGUCAACGUUUAUUAAUAAAUCUAGUCCUUCACCGUCACAUGUGUAUUGUAUUUUUGCCAAAUCCACCAAUAGCAAUUUCCAAUUUCCCUAUUAUGGUGUUCGAGUCACGGAUAGGUAUAACUUUCCUAAAAUAUUGCUAUUGGUUAGUUGGGCGAAAAUACAAUGCACACGUGACGGUGAAGACCAGAUUUAUGAAUAAACGUUGACUAAACAUAGAUAAUGAAUAGAUAAUGAGUUAUAUUGUUAUUCUAAUGAGUUUCACAGUAAUCUUC